rnacentral:lncRNA from 1 species
AGUGUUCACAAAGGCUUCGACGAGGACGUCGAAGGGAUAAGUGGGGGAGAAUGUCACAGACAAACUUCUCAACAAGACGUUGGAUGUAAUGCUUAUGUGUGUCCGUGUCUUUUGGCAUGUUCAUGCCCUGUACAGAAUGUAAAAGGGCGGCCGAAGGCUUAUAAGUCCCAUUUUAGUUGGGUUGGUGGCCUCUUUAGGCUUGUAAAUAAAAGUUGUGUCAUGUGGACACGUGAGAGAGCUUUUCGGUCUGUAAUGGACCAUUUUACCCUUUGUUGUGCCACUGUUCAGAGCUUGUAAAGUCUGUUUGUAAUUUGCAUUGUCUAUGAAGUGUUUUUCGG